UUGAAUAAACUUGGUCAAGCUGUUGCUGGUCCUUCGGGGCAUGUGCACGCUUGCCACUUUUAUAACCACCUGUGCACCUUUUGUAGACUAGAAACGUUUCUCGAGGCAACUCGGAUUGAGAACUGCUGUGCGCAAGCCAGCUGUUCUUGUGUUUCUCAGUCUAUGUUUUCAUAUACUCCAAAUGUAUGUAUCUGAAUGUAUUGCUGGGCCUUAGUGCCUUUAAAACAAAUA
rnacentral:misc_RNA from 1 species